rnacentral:rRNA from 1 species
GACGAACGCUGGCGGCGUGCUUAACACAUGCAAGUCGAGCGGUAAGGCCCUUCGGGGUACACGAGCGGCGAACGGGUGAGUAACACGUGAGCAAUCUGCCCAUCACUUUGGGAUAACUUCGGGAAACCGAAGCUAAUACCGAAUACGACCACUUCAGGCAUCUGAUGGUGGUGGAAAGUUCCGGCGGUGAUGGAUGAGCUCGCGGCCUAUCAGCUUGUUGGUGGGGUAAUGGCCUACCAAGGCUUCGACGGGUAGCCGGCCUGAGAGGGUGACCGGCCACACUGGGACUGAGACACGGCCCAGACUCCUACGGGAGGCAGCAGUGGGGAAUAUUGGACAAUGGGCGAAAGCCUGAUCCAGCAACGCCGCGUGAGGGAUGACGGCCUUCGGGUUGUAAACCUCUUUCAGCGCCGACGAAGCGAAAGUGACGGUAGGCGCAGAAGAAGCACCGGCCAACUACGUGCCAGCCGCCGCGGUAAUAC